UCAGGAAUUUGCACACCAUACUCCGUCACAGAUCUUCUCAGUGUCUACAAAAGCCAGAGGCGCGUGCUGCUGUUAGUUCGAAUUAAGUGGUGAUUUUUCUUUAAGUGACAAACAGAAAAUCUUCAAGUUAUUCAGAUUAAAAGGCAAACUCCUCUUAGCGCGUUCCAGAAACUCAGGCGCCCAACAGAUGGACAGGCUGCUCAGGCAAUUUCUGGAGAUUGAACCACCUCCCAGGCUGAAUUUAGGGAAAGCUGUGUCGCUUUCAGAUCAGGCGCAGAGCUUGAAGAGUUUCCUCCAGAACACCCAGGUGGAGCUGUGGGAACUAAACUGAAGCUCAGAUACGUGAAGACACUUUCGCAAGGGUACACAAUGAUUCACGGAAAUGGUAAAUCUGGGAGUCUACCCCAAGCGCUGGUGUACUCAAGCCCUGCAACAUGGCUCAUCACUGAGUGCUUUGCCUGUUAGAGGGAAUAAAAGCUGCAAUAACUACUGAAGAGAGAAAUAGAGGAGGGGUGAGGAUGUGGACACUUCAGUCUCAGCACAUGGCAUAUAAAAACUGUUGUGAACUCUGGGAUCAGUGGUUGCCGGUUCUGAUCCGGGCGACCCAGCUUUCCCUGCUUGUGGCCUGAGAAAGCAGUCUAUUGCGGCCCAAAGCCUUUGGAUCCUAUACCCAUGUGGGAGACCCAGAAGCAGCUCCUGGCUCCUGGCUUUGGAUCGGCUCAGCUCCAGCCAUUGCGGGUGCUUAGGGAGUGAACCAUCAGAUGGAAGAUCU